AGUACCUCCAAGCGUGAACGGAGCUCUGCAGUCAAUUAGUGUUUGACGCCGAAAGCCAUGACCCGGUGCUUUUCACUGUAUGAUAAACGCGACCGCUUCACUUUCCUCCUCUCCUCAGGUUGCAUACUUCAUUUCCUGCACCAUUCUCAGAUUGCAUUCCAGCGUUUACCAUGGUGACCAUGAUAAGAGGAGCGAGGAAUGAGCGGGGGCCAUACGCACAGACAAGGUGUGAUUAGGACAAGCCUGACACCUGUGUGUAAUCAGAGACAGGUGGACCCGUUUCUCUAAGGGGUUAUACUGAUUGCCAGAGUCAUCACUCAGCAGGUGAUUACUAUCUUUGUAACUUCGGCACCAUCAACAACCUGUCCGCCAGUGAGAGCUAUUCUCUUCACUGCAGUGUCAUUCUUCACCUUCAUCCUUGGAGGAGGGCAACAUACCACAGAAAACACUCGCUGGAAUGUGGACAUGGUCACAGCGAAUUGCAGGUGUGGAAGAUCUUCUUGCACUCUGAAGGGCCCUUGAUGCGCAGCGAUCACAUUGUUUCUGUGAAUACUGUGACAGAUUGCCGUAGCACCUCAGUUCAAGAGAAGCAGUGUGAACUGAUCAUCUCCUGCGCUUUGAUACAGUUUCAGCAGGAAAUAAACAUGAAAAAACAUCUCAAGGUAGUUGAGAGUGAUGUCCUCCACCACGUCAAUCUUGCAGAGCUUGUGACCAAACACGUCCUUCAGCAUCUUGAUUAGGUUUAAGAAACUGUUAAUGUCAAUAAGGCCAUCGCGUACUUUGUGUCCAAACAGCCCGUGUAUGAAGUAGAUCUCGUGGCCUGGUUCUCCCGGUUUGGAGGAAACACGCAGGUCGAAAUAGCGUAUUCCUCCCUCGAGCUGUUCUCUGAAAGUGAGGUUUUGAGUCAUGGACCACUUCUUCAUCACCUUCUUGGCUAGAAAGCGAAAUAUCGCAGCCAGGUGCUUCACGUAUGCUUUCUGGUCUGGACCGACUGGAGCUUGCUCAUCCACCCAGAAGCUGAAGGAAUCAUGAGAACCUGGAGCAUGAGCAUAAAGGAAUUUACAAGCUCCAGUGUGGAUCCAGAACACUUAAGAAGAGAUGAUGCCAACCCCACAGAGGACUUCAGAUGAUGCCAACCCUGAAAACAUACAGCACUACCGAAUUCUGCUACUAAUUUAUAGUGUUUUUUGUCUGUUUGAUUAUGUCAUUAAUUGAUCUUUACCACACAUCUCUUCCAUAUGUACAUCAAGCUACUACUACAUAUAUUGUAAAAAUGUCAAUUUGGUGUAAAGCUGCCUUGCAACGAUAUGUAUCGUGAAAAGCGCUAUACAAAUAAAUUUGAAUUGAAUUGAAUUGAACAAAUUGACCAAAAAUGGGAGACACAUAUUUGUACUUAAAGAAUUAACAUCCUGAAAGGAUUAUGAUUUUAUUAUGACACCAUAUUAUUUAUUUAUUUAUUUACUUAUUAUGUUUAGCAUUUUUUUUU